ensembl:lncRNA
CAGAAGGGCCGUGGAGAGGUGUAGAUGGUGGAGCAGAAGGGCCGUGGGGAGGUGUAGAUGGUGGAGCAGAAGGGCCGUGGGGAGGUGCAGAUGGUAGAGCAGAAGGGCCGUGGAGAGGUGCAGAUGGUGGAGCAGAAGGGCCGUGGGGAGGUGUAGAUGGUGGAGCAGAAGGGCUGUGGGGAGGUGUAGAUGGUGGAGCAGAAGGGCCGUGGGGAGGUGCAGAUGGUGGAGCAGAAGGGCCGUGGAGAGGUGCAGAUGGUGGAGCAGAAGGGCCGUGGGGAGGUGUAGAUGGUGGAGCAGAAGGGCUGUGGGGAGGUGCAGAUGGUGGAUCAGAAAGUCCGUGGGGAGGUGUAGAUGGUGGAGCAGAAGGGCCGUGGGGAGGUGUAGAUGGUGGAG